GACGAAGGGGGCUAGCGUUGUUCGGAAUUACUGGGCGUAAAGCGAGUGUAGGCGGUUGUUCAAGUCAGGUGUGAAAGCCUUGAGCUCAACUCAAGAAAUGCACUUGAUACUGGAUGACUAGAGGACCGGAGAGGAUAGUGGAAUUCCCAGUGUAGUGGUGAAAUGCGUAGAGAUCCGGAGGAACACCAGUGGCGAAGGCGACACGCUGGGCCGUACCUGACACUGAUGCGCGACGGCAUGGGGAGCAAACAGG
rnacentral:rRNA from 1 species